rnacentral:rRNA from 1 species
GACGAACGCUGGCGGCGUGCUUAACACAUGCAAGUCGAACGGAAAGGCCCUGCUUUUGUUGGUUGCUCGAGUGGCGAACGGGUGAGUAACACGUGAGUAACCUGCCCUUGACUUUGGGAUAACUUCAGGAAACUGGGGCUCAUACCGGAUAUGAGCUCCUGCUGCAUGGUGGGGGUUGGAAAGUUUCGGCGGUUGGGGAUGGACUCGCGGCUUAUCAGCUUGUUGGUGGGGUAGUGGCUUACCAAGGCUUUGACGGGUAGCCGGCCUGAGAGGGUGACCGGCCACAUGGGGACUGAGAGACGGCCCAGAAGCCUACGGGAGGCAGCAGUGGGGAAUAUUGCACAAUGGGCGGAAGCCAGAUGCAGCAACGCCGCGUGCGGGAUGACGGCUUUCGGGUUGUAAACAGAUUUCGCAGGUGACGAAGAGUGAGUGACGGUAAUGGGUAAAGAAGCAACGGCUAACUACGUG